rnacentral:rRNA from 1 species
GUCCAGACUCCUACGGGAGGCAGCAGUGGGGGAUAUUGCACAAUGGGGGAAACCCUGAUGCAGCAACGCCGCGUGAGUGAAGAAGUAUUUCGGUAUGUAAAGCUCUAUCAGCAGGGAAGAAGAAAGACGGUACCUGACUAAGAAGCCCCGGCUAACUACGUGCCAGCAGCCGCGGUAAUACGUAGGGGGCAAGCGUUAUCCGGAUUUACUGGGUGUAAAGGGAGCGUAGACGGCAUGGCAAGUCAGAUGUGAAAGCCCGGGGCUCAACCCCGGGACUGCAUUUGAAACUGUCAGGCUGGAGUGCAGGAGAGGUAAGUGGAAUUCCUAGUGUAGCGGUGAAAUGCGUAGAUAUUAGGAGGAACACCAGUGGCGAAGGCGGCUUACUGGACUGUAACUGACGUUGAGGCUCGAAAGCGUGGGGAGCAAACAGGAUUAGAUACCCCCGUACG